UGGUUGUCGUCAGCUCGUGUCGUGAGAUGUUGGGUUAAGUCCCGCAACGAGCGCAACCCCUAUCUUUAGUUGCCAUCAUUGAGUUGGGCACUCUAAAGAGACUGCCGGUGUCAAACCGGAGGAAGGUGGGGAUGACGUCAAGUCCUCAUGGCCUUUAUGACCAGGGCUACACACGUACUACAAUGGCCGGUACAAAGGGCAGCGACACAGCGAUGUGAAGCGAAUCCCGAAAAGCCGGUCUCAGUCCGGAUUGGAGUCUGCAACUCGACUCCAUGAAGUUGGAAUCGCUAGUAAUCGCGGAUCAGCACGCCGCGGUGAAUACGUUCCCGGGCCUU
rnacentral:rRNA from 1 species